rnacentral:tRNA from 1 species
GCAUUGGUGGUUCAGUGGUAGAAUUCUCAUCUUCCAUGCUGGAGACCCCGGUUCAAUUCCUGGCCGAUGCA